AUUGAACGCUGGCGGCAUGCCUUACACAUGCAAGUCGAACGGCAGCGCGGGAGCAAUCCUGGCGGCGAGUGGCGAACGGGUGAGUAAUAUAUCGGAACGUGCCCAGUAGUGGGGGAUAGCCCGGCGAAAGCCGGAUUAAUACCGCAUGAGACCUGAGGGUGAAAGCGGGGGAUCGCAAGACCUCGCGCUACUGGAGCGGCCGAUAUCAGAUUAGCUAGUUGGUGGGGUAAAGGCCUACCAAGGCAACGAUCUGUAGUUGGUCUGAGAGGACGACCAGCCACACUGGGACUGAGACACGGCCCAGACUCCUACGGGAGGCAGCAGUGGGGAAUUUUGGACAAUGGGCGCAAGCCUGAUCCAGCAAUGCCGCGUGCAGGAAGAAGGCUCGGUGUAACUAGCUUUGUUC
rnacentral:rRNA from 1 species